rnacentral:rRNA from 1 species
ACCUGCGGAAGGAUCAUUGUCGUGACCCUGACCAAAACAGACCGUGAACGUGUCAUCYAUGCCACCGGGUGACGGGGCUCGCACCCGUCUCUCGGUANNGGGCCAUCGACCUUCUUUCGGAGGUGGUGGCCCCAAAAGAACCCACGGCGCCGUAUGGCGUCAAGGAACAGUAAGAUUGCCUUGCUCRGGGCCACGUCCGGCAUGCCGGACGCACCCCAAGCAGCGAUGCUAUGUUAACCCACAUGACUCUCGGCAACGGAUAUCUCGGCUCUCGCAUCGAUGAAGAACGUAGCAAAAUGCGAUACCUGGUGUGAAUUGCAGAAUCCCGUGAACCAUCGAGUUUUUGAACGCAAGUUGCGCCCGAGGCCUUCUGGCCGAGGGCACGUCUGCCUGGGCGUCACGCCAAAAGACACUCCCAACCCAUCCCGGUGCGGACGUGGUGUUUGGCCCCCCGUGCCAGACGGCGCGGUGGGCCAAAGUUUGGGCUGCCGGCGGUGCCGAUCACAGCGCAAGGUGGAUGACACAAGUCGUUCUCGGUGCUAUGAUNCGGACCUGCUUCCGNUGAUGCNAUGGCCCUCUGGACCCAUCGACCGUGGCGCAAGACGCUCGGACCGCGACCCCAGGUCAGUCGGGAUUACCCGCUGAAUUUAAGCAUAUCAAUAAGCGG